rnacentral:misc_RNA from 1 species
AAGUCGUAACAAGGUAUCCGUAGGUGAACCUGCGGAUGGAUCAUUAUCACGUAUCCACGUAUAAACCAUUGUGAACUGUAACAUUUGCCCUAUGAGAGGAGCUUAGUGAUUGGGAGGGAGAGAGAGCGCAAGCUUUUUCUCUCAACCAUCCUCUCGUAGCGUAAUUUAUCACUUAAAUUAACAAUUUUAACAUAUUUAAUUUAAAUUUUGAACUGAUUUUAUUUCUUACUCUCGUAAAACAGAGAAGAAAUUUCAUUACGAAACAUAAGAACAACUCUUAGCAACGGAUAUCUUGGUUCUC